AAAAAAGAUGCCAGGUGACAGAGAUAUUACACACUUGUAUUAUGGAAAGUAUUAAGUGUCACAAGGCCACCUGGAGUGGUGAAAAAGAAAUGACCCCAGUACAGAAGGCCACUGGUCUUUGGAUGUGUACAGCAGAAACGCAAUCCCUCUCUAAUUCAAGCACCCCCGCCCAACUCCAGAGGGAUGGCGCAGACUAACGUGACGAUCCCAUCCUGACAGCGUGUCAAUACAAAGCAAUUUACAAGCACAUGGAAAAUCGACCCCUGGAUAAGAGGCAAUUUCUCUGGUCCGCCGGUUCAGAUGGAGAACGGGCCAAAGGGGGAAAUGGGGCAACGGAACUGGCCCGGCCCGAUCGGGGCAGACUGUCAGGCGGGAGAUACCGUGGGGCGUGGGGGUGAGGCCGUGUCAUGGAUGUGAGAGGCAACAAGAGACGAGCCAUAACGAAGAACGAUGGGGGUUAGUGUCCUGGCAGCUGAUAGCGCAUGAUAACAUCACACAAAACGCAAACAUCCCUGGGGCAAAAAUGUGAAGUAUGAGCUCAAGAUGUGGGAACGGGGGCAAGAAGCUGGGGUAUGUUAGGGCUAUUAAAUUUGAAAUACAGACUUUUAGGCAGUUUUUGUCAAAAAAUGGCACAUGCAGAGGGAAGAAUAAAGAGGCAGCAUUCCUUCAAAAAUUUUUAAAGAAACGAUCUGGAUCAAGUUUUACUUGCGCCGUCGCCAACAGGCACCAGGAAGCACCAGUGAGCGCACAGGUCAUGCCCGAAAGCCGGCUCUCUCGCACAUGGGCGCCGAGAUUACCGCUGGAGUAAGCCUACAUGCUGAAACGACCACGCAGCACCUCAGAGAUGUGUCAGACCCUGAUCAAGCC